rnacentral:tRNA from 1 species
GCCAGCAUGGUGUAGUGGUUUGAGCAUUGGACUAUGACUCUGGAGACCAGGGUUCAAAUCCAGGCUCAGCCA